AAAUGCAAAAAAAGGUAAGCCCAAUGCGGGGCUCGAACCCGCGACAACCAGAUUAAGAGUCUGGUGCUCUACCGACUGAGCUAACCGGGCGGCGAUAGGAACCGAGGCGC